rnacentral:rRNA from 1 species
UACGUAGGGGGCAAGCGUUGUCCGGAAUCAUUGGGCGUAAAGAGCGUGUAGGCGGCCCGAUAAGUCCGCCGUGAAAGUCCAGGGCUCAACCCUGGGAUGCCGGUCGAUACUGCCGGACUAGAGUUCGGAAGAGGCGAGUGGAAUUCCCGGUGUAGCGGUGAAAUGCGCAGAUAUCGGGAGGAACACCUAUGGCGAAGGCG